rnacentral:rRNA from 1 species
UCGCCCUUAGAGUUUGAUCAUGGCUCAGGACGANNNCUGCCGGCGUGCUUUAUACAUGCAAGUCGAACGAAGCAAUCCGGUGUUUACAUUGGAUUGACUUAGUGGCGGACGGGUGAGUAACGCGUGAACAACCUGCCUUACAGAGGGGGACAACAUUGGGAAACUGAUGCUAAUACCGCAUGAUAUCUAAUUAUCGCAUGGUAAUAAGAUCAAAGAUUUAUCGCUGUAAGAGGGGUUCUCGUAUCAUUAGCUAGUUGGNGGGGUAAAGGCCUACCAAGGCGACGAUGAUUAGCCGGCCUGAGAGGGUGAACGGUCACACUGGAACUGAGACACGGUCCAGACUCCUACGGGAGGCAGCAGUANGGAAUAUUGGGCAAUGGGCGCAAGCCUGACCCAGCAACGCCGCGUGA